rnacentral:rRNA from 1 species
CCUACGGGAGGCUGCAGUGAGGAAUAUUGGUCAAUGGGCGUAAGCCUGAACCAGCCAAGUAGCGUGCGGGAUGAAGGCCCUAUGGGUUGUAAACCUCUUUUGUACGGGGAUAACACCCUCCACUUGUGGCCGUCUGCAGGUACCGUGCGAAUAAGGCCCGGCUAAUUCCGUUCCAGCAGCCGCGGUAAUACGGAGGGCCCGAGCGUUAUCCGGAUUUAUUGGGGUUAAAGGGAUCGUAGGGGGGCGUUCAAGUCAGCUGUAAAAUUGCGCGGCUCAACCGAGCCCCGCAGUUGAAACUGGGUGCCUUGAGUGGACGAGAGGCAGGCGGAAUUCGUGGUGUAGCGGUGAAAUGCAUAGAUAUCACGAAGAACCCCGAUUGCGAAGGCAGCCUGCCGGCGUGCGACUGACGCUGAGGCUCGAAAGUGUGGGUAUCAAACAGGAUUAGAUACCCGGGUAGUC